rnacentral:tRNA from 1 species
AAGAAAAGUCUGGGGACUAUAAGAAACUGCUAACUUCUUUACCCAUGGUUCAAAUCCAUGGUUUUCUUG